AAACCUAAGCCGUGCAUUUAUACAGAUUGCAGUGUAAAUUUUCUCUCAUGUCUGCCAGUGUGUUCUACCCCUGCAGCUACUCUUAUGAGCAUCGUUGCCGAAAUCUGUCCAUUAAUCACUCCUCGCUGUUUGCUUAUUGUGCUAAAGGUAUAUCCUGCAUUGAACGCUUUGCGGAGAGAAUCAGAAUAGCUUGAAACACUUCACCGACGUAGCCCAUUUGUUCAAUCGCUGAAAACACAGCAUUGAUCAAGAUAUCUACCUGAGAUGCCUUCCUUCUCGAGAUUCACUUUGUUCUUUUCACCUGACACCUGCACAAUCCGUGUAGAGAAGAGAGGCCAACUUCUGCUUGUAUUAUCUGCUUUGCUGCUUUUCACCACACCUCCAAGAUUCAUCAGCUAGAGCCAGACCCUAUUAAAUGGGUGCAAUGGGUCAAACUAGCACCUGAACUUUAAACAGAUAAUUCUGCUACCUGUGCCUGUGAAGUUUUACUGGGAUACCUCAGCUGAUACCCACAAGUUUUGAAGAAAGCCAAGAGUGAUGUGAAAAGCACACUAUAAUGCAAAAACUCCCUUGAAUGCUUCAGGGAGAUAUUGCUUUGUGGUGUGUGUUUACAUCAGGCUUCCUCAACCUCG